ensembl:snoRNA
UGUUAAGCAUGAACCUAUCCCGAACCUGAUUCCUGUAAGAUUGACAACCCUGUCGGAUCUGACUUCUGAAAU